rnacentral:rRNA from 1 species
UACGUAGGGUGCAGGCGUUAAUCGGAAUUACUGGGCGUAAAGCGUGCGCAGGCGGCUCCUUAAGUCAGAUGUGAAAGCCCCGGGCUUAACCCUGGGAACUGCGUUUGAAACUGGGGAGCUAGAGUGUAGAAGAGGGGGGUGGAAUUCCAGGUGUAGCAGUGAAAUGCGUAGAGAUCUGGAGGAACACCGAUGGCGAAAGGCAGCCCCCUGGGCUAACACUGACGCUCAUGCACGAAAGCGUGGGGAGCAAACA